GAUCAUUUACUAGAACCCUUUAUGAGCAGGAGGUAUAAUAUACCAUUUGGCUGUGACAUUUAUGUCAAACACCUGUGGCCAAUGCUGGCCAGCAUGUGGUGGGCACAUGUAUACUGUACAUACGUUUCCAUCUUGAUCACAGCUGCCACUGUAUUUAUCAAAGACCCUAAUACCUCCCCCUCCUCAACACCCAACAGAUGGCGGGAGAGAGAGAUCGAGUCCCCCUAUCCAGCCCUCCAACAGCUCCACCUCACCUAUACUUGCCCAGGAGCGAGACAGAGAGACACGGGCCACAUCCUGACAUCGAAACGCUCGUCAAAAGGCUUCGGAAACCGGUCCACUUUCAUCUUUCAUCCCUGUCCCUCUUUUCACUUCAAAUGAACUCCUCCUGUCUUUUCCCCUUCCACUCCAGUGGGUCCUUAUAGUGACUGCGGGUUGAGGUGAUGUGACGCAGACCUAUAGGCUCCAGGGCUCUAGGGCUGCAGGUUGCAGGUCUGGACCAAUAGAGCUACAGGGGUUUGUGGCUUGUGGACUACUGCCUGCCCAUUGACUUAGACCCGCUGUGACCGCCAUGUUUCUUUGAUGAGUUCUGUCGACCCUAGUUAGCGUGAGCGACACUCUGGGACGAUCAAUGGUGUCCUCAAAAGAGCAGCAGCUGUGACGAAGACCGCUGCUGCCGAUGAAGACUGCUGCUGCUGAUGUUGUUUUGGAAUGUCACUGGACUGGUACAUUGAGUACACUGCUUUGAUAGUCAGACAAAGACACACAAGCUUGCACACACACGUACAACACACUAACACAGUUUUUUUUAAAUAUAAUUUGUUUACGUAAAAAAUAUUCCCUAUGUGUUGGAAUUUGAGGGGGAACUGCACCCAAUGGCCCCAGUGUGUGUCGUAGGACUAUAAAUACUAGGGGUGGUGGAGAGUGUGGUUGACCAUAAUUACCUAGGCCCUUUUAAAGCCUGGGCGCGCUGUCUGUCUGUCUGCUGGCCCCGUUACCACUCAACUCUGCUCCAGUACACUCCCUAACACACACAUACAAAAACACACAUAAGCACAUACACGUAACACACACAAACACAAAUGGACAAAAGCACACACAUUCACACACAUCUGUCCUGUGGGUUGGACUGUUUUUCUACAUCUGUCUGGACUAGGGUUUCAAAGGGAGGGUAUAUUACUGGAAACUUUAGAAGGUUAUCAGUAAACUACCAAGAUGUUGGUAUCUUUCAAGGAUUUUAUGUAAAUCCAUCACAAGACAUCUAGUGGCCAUUUGGGGUACUUCAGAUGAUCACGUUUGUAACUAUCUCCAGCCCUCUCUCUAGCCUUACCACAUGUAAAAUAUAUGAAAUAAUGAAAUAACAUGAUUGUCAAAUUAAACAUAGAAUGACAGAGCUGUAAAACAUUAUCCUGAAUAUAAACCAUCAACUUAGUGAAUACCAUUGGUGUUCAAUAUUAAUAUUAGGGUUUCAGCAUGAAAUAUCCUUCAUUUUUUUUACACACUUUUAUUUAUUUUACUAUGUCAAUUUGUAAUUUGGGGUCAAUGUUUUGGCGUCAAACUGAAGGCAGUUGUGAAAAAAGUCAAUAGUUGGAUGAGUUGCAGAGCAAAUUGAAAGUAAUGCCAUUGUUGAUUAGAUGCUUUUUUCCUUAAUUAGGACAUUUUCUCUUGAACCAUAUGGUCUACCUACUAGAAACUCAUGGACAAUACGGACACAGAUAUAAAAAAAUGUUUUAUGUUAUAUAUGAAUAAAAAUGUUUAAAGUUAUUCAAAUAUAUAUUACCAAAGUUACCAAAGAUUGCCAUAGAUUUUCUGUUAAUUUCGAAAAUGACUGAAGAUUUCGGUAACUUUGGCACAUAUUAGCUUUGCAAACCUAGCCUGAACCAGUAAAGACUGAGAUGUCUUACAACAUAUUACAUAUUUUUAGGUCUCAAACUAUGUUUUUGUCUGGGUUGACUUUCUUUGAGCCUAAAAACAUUGUGUCACGUCCUGACCUUAGUUCCUUUUUUAUGUCUCUAUUUUAGUUUGGUCAGGGCGUGAGUUGGGGUGGGCAUUCCAUGUGUUGUUCUAUGUUUUUGUAUUUCUGUGUUUGGCCUGGUAUGGUUCCCAAUCAGAGGCAGCUGUUUAUCGUUGUCUCUGAUGGAGAACCAUACUUAGGAGGCCUGUUUUCCCACUAUGGCUUGUGGGUAGUUAUUUUCUGUUUUGUGUUGCUGCACCUUACAGGACUGUUUCGUUUUCGUUUCACUCUCUGUGUUAUUUUUGUUAGUGAUUCUGUUCCUAAUAAAUAAUAUGAACACUUACCACGCUGCGCAUUGGUCCGAUCCUUCAUACUCCUCGUCAGAAG
rnacentral:lncRNA from 13 species